GGUUCCAUAUCUCAGUUGAUUAGUGUGUAGUGCUAAUAUUAUUCAAAUGUUAAGGCCAAGGUCAAGGGUUCGACCCCCUCUGAAAUUA